UGUCCCAGGAUGGGAAUCGAACCCACAGUGUUCCGCUUACCGGGCAGAUGCCAUGUCCACUAGGCUACCCUGGAC